GCGUGAGUGAUGAAGGCCCUAGGGUUGUAAAGCUCUUUCAGCGGGGAAGAUAAUGACGGUACCCGCAGAAGAAGCCCCGGCUAACUUCGUGCCAGCAGCCGCGGUAAUACGAAGGGGGCUAGCGUUGCUCGGAAUUACUGGGCGUAAAGCGCACGUAGGCGGAUUGUUAAGUCGGAGGUGAAAUCCUGGAGCUCAACUCCAGAACUGCCUUCGAAACUGGCGAUCUCGAGUCCGGGAGAGGUGAGUGGAACUGCGAGUGUAGAGGUGAAAUUCGU
rnacentral:rRNA from 1 species